AUUGAACGCUGGCGGCAGGCCUAACACAUGCAAGUCGAACGGUAACAGGAAGCAGCUUGCUGCUUUGCUGACGAGUGGCGGACGGGUGAGUAAUGUCUGGGAAACUGCCCGAUGGAGGGGGAUAACUACUGGAAACGGUAGCUAAUACCGCAUAACGUCGCAAGACCAAAGAGGGGGACCUUAGGGCCUCUUGCCUUCGGCUGUGCCCAGAUGGGAUUAGCUAGUAGGUGGGGUAACGGCUCACCUAGGCGACGAUCCCUAGCUGGUCUGAGAGGAUGACCAGCCACACUGGAACUGAGACACGGUCCAGACUCCUACGGGAGGCAGCAGUGGGGAAUAUUGCACAAUGGGCGCAAGCCUGAUGCAGCCAUGCCGCGUGUAUGAAGAAGGCCUUCGGAUUGUAAAGUACUUUCAGCGGGGAGGAAGGGAGUAAAGUUAAUACCUUUGCUCAUUGACGUUACCCGCAGAAGAAGCACCGGCUAACUCCGUG
rnacentral:rRNA from 1 species